GGGGUACACGAGCGGCGAACGGGUGAGUAACACGUGAGCAACCUGCCCCUGACUCCGGGAUAAGCGGUGGAAACGCCGUCUAAUACCGGAUACGACCCGCCACCUCAUGGUGGAGGGUGGAAAGUUUUAUCGGUCAGGGAUGGGCUCGCGGCCUAUCAGCUUGUUGGUGGGGUAACGGCCUACCAAGGCGAUUACGGGUAGCCGGCCUGAGAGGGCGACCGGCCACACUGGGACUGAGACACGGCCCAGACUCCUGCGGGAGGCAGCAGUGGGGAAUAUUGCACAAUGGGCGAAAGCCUGAUGCAGCGACGCCGCGUGGGGGAUGACGGCCUUCGGGUUGUAAACCUCUUUUACCACCAACGCAGGCUCCACGUUCUCGUGGGGUUGACGGUAGGUGGGGAAUAAGGACCGGCUAACUACGUGCCAGCAGCCGCGGUAAUACGUAGGGUCCGAGCGUUGUCCGGAAUUAUUGGGCGUAAAGAGCUCGUAGGCGGCAUGUCGCGUCUGCUGUGAAAGACCGGGGCUUAACUCCGGUUCUGCAGUGGAUACGGGCAUGCUAGAGGUAGGUAGGGGAGACUGGAAUUCCUGGUGUAGCGGUGAAAUGCGCAGAUAUCAGGAGGAACACCGGUGGCGAAGGCGGGUCUCUGGGCCUUACCUGACGCUGAGGAGCGAAAGCAUGGGGAGCGAACAGGAUUAGAUACCCUGGUAGUCCAUGCCGUAAACGUUGGGCGCUAGGUGUGGGGACUUUCCACGGUUUCCGCGCCGUAGCUAACGCAUUAAGCGCCCCGCCUGGGGAGUACGGCCGCAAGGCUAAAACUCAAAGGAAUUGACGGGGGCCCGCACAAGCGGCGGAGCAUGUUGCUUAAUUCGACGCAACGCGAAGAACCUUACCAAGGUUUGACAUCACCCGUGGACCUGUAGAGAUACAGGGUCAUUUAGUUGGUGGGUGACAGGUGGUGCAUGGCUGUCGUCAGCUCGUGUCGUGAGAUGUUGGGUUAAGUCCCGCAACGAGCGCAACCCUUGUUCCAUGUUGCCAGCACGUAAUGGUGGGGACUCAUGGGAGACUGCCGGGGUCAACUCGGAGGAAGGUGGGGACGACGUCAAGUCAUCAUGCCCCUUAUGUCUUGGGCUGCAAACAUGCUACAAUGGCCGGUACAAUGGGCGUGCGAUACCGUAAGGUGGAGCGAAUCCCUUAAAGCCGGUCUCAGUUCGGAUUGGGGUCUGCAACUCGACCCCAUGAAGGUGGAGUCGCUAGUAAUCGCGGAUCAGCAACGCCGCGGUGAAUACGUUCCCGGGCCUUGUACACACCGCCCGUCACGUCAUGAAAGUCGGCAACACCCGAAACUUG
rnacentral:rRNA from 1 species